rnacentral:rRNA from 1 species
CACGUAGGGCGCAAGCGUUGUCCGGAAUUAUUGGGCGUAAAGAGCUCGUAGGCGGUCUGUUGCGUCCGCUGUGAAAACUCGGGGCUUAACCCCGAGCCUGCAGUGGAUACGGGCAGACUAGAGGUAGGUAGGGGAGAAUGGAAUUCCCGGUGUAGCGGUGAAAUGCGCAGAUAUCGGGAGGAACACCAGUAGCGAAGGCGACACUCUGGGCCGGUACUGACGCUGAGGAGCGAAAGCGUGGGGAGCGAACAGG